CCACGGAGAGAGAUUAGAGAGAGAGAGAGAGAGAGAGAGAGAGAUGGAGCAUGAGGAGCUAGAGCAGGAACAUGAAGUGUGCGGAGGAAAUUCCCGAUGAAGGAGAGAUGGAUGCCGAUGUCGAUAUGUCUAGGGCUGAAGACGACGAUCUCAACUCCAAGGACUUGGAGGACAUGAAGAAGGCACUCAAGGAGAUUGAAGAAGAAGCAGGCGCCCUUCGCGAAAUGCAAUCCAAAGUUGAAAAGGAAAUGGGCACCGUUCAAGAUCAACUUCCGUAGAUCGACUAGAAAAAUAGAAACCCUAAAGGAUGAGGCAAAGAGGGCAAUCGGUUUUGAAGACACACCGCUCUUUAUUUUCAUGGUUCAGCCGAACCUUUAAGAACUCUUCUAGUCCUGCUACUCAGGCUGAAAAGGAGGUGGUGGAUUCACGCUCCAUAUAUGUUGGUAAUGUAGAUUAUGUGAGGAGGUCCAACAACACUUCCAAUCCUGUGGGACAGUCAACAGGGUCACAAUUUUGACAGACAAGUUUGGUCAACCUGAAGGAUUUGCUUAUGUGGAGUUUGUGGAAAUUGAAGCUUUUCAGAAUGCUCUUCUGUUGAAUGAAUCAGAGUUGCAUGGCUGCUAGUUGAAGGUUUCUUCAAAACGAACUAAUAUUCCAGGGAUGAAACAGUAUCGAGGAAGGCAUCCAAACCCAUAUAUUGGUUUUCGAACACAAAGACCCUUCAUGCCUGUUCCACCUUUCUAUCCUUCAUAUGGAUACGGUUAAGCAUUAGAUUUAUCUAGGUGCAUUCGGUUGCUUGUUAGACAAAUGGAAAGUUGGCCAUUAAUCUAGGUGCUGUUUUGGUUGCUUGCUCGACUAAUGGAUAGUCGGGAAGAGGAACCUUAUGAUGCCAAUUGCGACUUCAAGAUGCCAAUUGCGACUUCAAUUUUCUUUUCUUUUAUCCACCAACUCAAGCACCACAAUAGUGCAUUAUUAUACUGGUUUUGUUAUCGCUUGGUGCUAAGAGAACUAGAGAAAGUUAUGCCUAUCAAAUACAUAUUAGAAAAAAAUUACAAUGCUGCAAUGGUUUACA